rnacentral:tRNA from 1 species
AAAAAAUUAGUUAAAAAAUAUAACAUUAGUUUGUCAAACUAAAAUUAUCAAUUUAUUGAUAUUUUUUAA